rnacentral:lncRNA from 1 species
UAUUGACAAUGUUUGAUGAUUUACUGAAUCAUGAUAAUGCAUCAUGGUUGUGUAUGCAUUAUUGCAUCAUUUUUAAUACAAUAAAUAGUAAUCAUAGUCCCAUUCUAAAUGGCUUCUUGCUGUAAAAGUGAAAUUAUGGAUUUGAGAAUACUUGGAUUUUGGAUUGGGAUAUUCAAUUUGUAUCAAGUUGGGAGUAUAAGUACAGUAGAAUGUCAAUUAUCUGAAUCAGUGCCAUUUAAAAAAAUUACAGUAUCUACUUUCAGUAUACUAGUUAUUAUGCUGAAGUAUUAUUCCUAUAAUUUAAUGCAUUCAUUUACAAUUAUUUAUUUGAAGACACAUAUAGAAUAGCAUUGACAUAAUAUGAAUUUGUCAUUACAGGAGUUAAAA